UUUGCAGUAAUUAAGGCUCAGGUUGAAACCGACCAAUUGCAAUGCUAUUUUUUGUUUGUUGAUAAUUGCAAAUUGUUGGUCUCAGAUUUGUAGGCUUAGCACUAUUGAUACCUGGAUUUUCUGGUAUUUAGAGUUAGUCAGGUACUGUUUGAUUUAUCGAGUUUUUGACUCAUAAAUUGAUGAAUUGAUUAUUGGUGUCAUCGUGUCGAUGCUCUGUAACUAAAGUGAGAAAUGUUAUAUUGGUUCUGUUGAAUCCAGUAUAUUUGGUGAUUUCUGAAGCAAGCAAGAUUGAUUCAAGGAAUGUCAAAAACAUAGGGAUAUUGAAAUAAUUUAUUGCCUUUAAUUACGCAGAGGUUAUAACUAUAGGGAAGAAUGGAUUUCAUUGCUCUGCGUGGUGGUUGAGUUCUGUGGUUUGAGAAUAUGUGGUUGACAAAUUCAUAUUUUGGGGAAAUAGAGAGGGAGAAAAGAUCUUGAGGCGAAAGAGAAGAAACUCACUCAAGAAGUUAAGAAGAGUGCUAACCAAGGUAGAUGGGACCUUUCUAUUGGAUGACAGUUUAAUGCAAAGCUACUUCUGUACAUACAUGAUUAUAAGGCUCAUAGAGAUGAAAUACAUACUAAGCUGGUCCGGAUCAUGAGAGAAAGGUUAUUGGUUCAUCUACACGGGUUGCCUCAAAUCGUAGAGAGCUGGAAUAGACCAGAGAGACUGACCCACAGCCUAGUCAGUUUGCUCGAUCACUUACCAAGGAAGUUGGAGACUUGCAACGUGUUCUAACUCGAACUUUACAUGUGGUUGAUGUUUAAGCAAUUUUCAGGCAAGUGAUUAUAAUUUUUCAUUCACAAAUUUCGGAAGCACUUUCACGCUUAGAGAUCAGUACACCACAAGCCAAGGACAGGAGAUUUUGGUUAUUGGGGUUGGGAAGCAUGUUCUACAAAAUUGAUACUAGUAAGUUGCGAAGGGUGAAGCUCUACCAAGGAUCUUAUCAAGCUCUGCUAAAACUUUGAAUAGAGACUGGUACGGUGCUAUUUUAUAGGCACGCAGAAAUUAGUUUCAUCGAUUGAACUUGAUUAGUUAGUCGACGUGUAGUCUGUGAGUCUGGCUAUAGUGUUGUAGGUCUUCAAUUUACUAGCUGCAGAUUGAAAUUUGACAUAUUACUUUGUCAAUUUAGCUUGGUAGGUGAUGGAGCAUUUGAGCUAGCUUUACAAUACAUUGUCUUGUAAUUGUUUUGGAUCUUGAAGACAGUAAUGAUGUCUUUAUUUCUAUCAACUGGUCAUUCUUCUUACC